UACAGAGGGUGCAAGCGUUAUUCGGAAUUAUUGGGCGUAAAGCGCGCGUAGGUGGCUUGGUAAGUCUGAUGUGAAAUCCCCGGACUCAAUUCGGGAAGUGCAUUGGAUACUGCUAGGCUGGAGUAUGGGAGAGGAGAGUGGAAUUCCAGGUGUAGAGGUGAAAUUCGUAGAUAUCUGGAGGAACAACAGAGGCGAAGGCGGCUCUCUGGACCAUUACUGACACUGAGGCGCGAAAGCGUGGGGAGCAAACAGG
rnacentral:rRNA from 1 species